UGGGGAAUAUUGCACAAUGGGCGCAAGUCUGAUGCAGCCAUGCCGCGUGUGUGAAGAAGGCCUUCGGGUUGUAAAGCACUUUCAGCGAGGAGGAAGGGUAGUGUGUUAAUAGCACAUUGCAUUGACGUUACUCGCAGAGGAAGCACCGGCUAACUCCGUGCCAGCAGCCGCGGUAAUACGGAGGGUGCAAGCGUUAAUCGGAAUUACUGGGCGUAAAGCGCACGCAGGCGGUUUGUUAAGUCAGAUGUGAAAUCCCCGCGCUUAACGUGGGAACUGCAUUUGAAACUGGCAAGCUAGAGUCUUGUAGAGGGGGGUAGAAUUCCAGGUGUAGCGGUGAAAUGCGUAGAGAUCUGGAGGAAUACCGGUGGCGAAGGCGGCCCCCCUGGACAAAGACUGACGCUCAGGUGCGAAAGCG
rnacentral:rRNA from 1 species